GACGAACGCUGGCGGCGUGCUUAACACAUGCAAGUCGAACGAUGAAGCCUAGCUUGCUAGGUGGAUUAGUGGCGAACGGGUGAGUAAUACGUGAGUAACCUACCUUUAACUCUGGGAUAAGCCCGGGAAACUGGGUCUAAUACCGGAUACGACCAAUCUCCGCAUGGGGUGUUGGUGGAAAGCGUUAUGUAGUGGUUAUAGAUGGGCUCACGGCCUAUCAGCUUGUUGGUGAGGUAACGGCUCACCAAGGCGACGACGGGUAGCCGGCCUGAGAGGGUGACCGGCCACACUGGGACUGAGACACGGCCCAGACUCCUACGGGAGGCAGCAGUGGGGAAUAUUGCACAAUGGGCGCAAGCCUGAUGCAGCGACGCCGCGUGAGGGAUGACGGCCUUCGGGUUGUAAACCUCUGUUAGCAGGGAAGAAGAGAGAUUGACGGUACCUGCAGAGAAAGCGCCGGCUAACUACGUGCCAGCAGCCGCGGUAAUACGUAGGGCGCGAGCGUUGUCCGGAAUUAUUGGGCGUAAAGAGCUUGUAGGCGGUUUGUCGCGUCUGCUGUGAAAGGCCGGGGCUUAACUCCGUGUAUUGCAGUGGGUACGGGCAGACUAGAGUGCAGUAGGGGAGACUGGAAUUCCUGGUGUAGCGGUGGAAUGCGCAGAUAUCANGAGGAACACCGAUGGCGAAGGCAGGUCUCUGGGCUGUAACUGACGCUGAGAAGCGAAAGCAUGGGGAGCGAACAGG
rnacentral:rRNA from 1 species